AUGUCCGUGUCAGGGUUCAAGGCCAAGCUGAAGUUGUUGUCCUCUAUUUUCCACAAGAACCAGGAGCCGCCGCGGCAGCUCAGGCUCCACUGCAACAUCACGGAAUCCUCUUCAUUUUCUUUACCAAUAUGGUUUGUGGACUAUGAUGAGCCAAAUCUGACAUCAGUUCUGGAAUGUCUAGAAGAUGCUAAGAAAAACAAUUCACUUCAUCAGCAAUGGAAGUGGCUGAUAUGUGGACUCUGCAGAUUAUAUAACCUUCCUAAGCACCCGAAUGUUGAGAUGCCAGAUCAACCACUACCCAUGGGUCAGGUAAAAAUGGGACAACAGAAGAAGUGACUUCAAAAGAAGAGGAAGAAGAAGAGAUGGAUGAAGAUAUAGAAGACUUAGAUCACUGUGAGAUGAAAGAAGAGCCUACUAGUGAGAAGAAGUUGGAGGAUGAAGGAACUGAAAAAGAAAACUGGGCAAUAUUAGAGAAAAUUAGGAAGACUGAAAGGCAAGGCCAUUUAAAUGCUGCAGUGUCUGGGUCAGUGCAAGCUUCAGAUAGACUUAAGAAAGAGUUCAGGGACUUAUACAGAUCACAGAGUUAUAAGACAGGUUGACCCUGAUAGUUCUUUGCACAGUGAUCUUCAGAUCUUAAAAGAAAAAGAAGAGAUAGGAGACAUUUUGCUUAUGUUUUAAGGAUAACUUUCCAUUUGAUCCUCCAUUUGUUUGAGUGGUGUUACCUGUUCUCUCAGGAGCGUAUGUAUUGGGUAGAGGAGCAUUAUAUAUGGAACCUCUCACAAAACAGGGCUGAAGCAGUGCCUACUCGAUAGAAUCAGUCAUCAUGCAAAUAAAAGCCACCUGAGUCAAAGGCAAAGCCAGAGUGCAGCUUGGAGCAAAGAAG
rnacentral:lncRNA from 1 species